UUCCUACGGGAGGCAGCAGUGAGGAACAUUGGUCAAUGGGCGGGAGCCUGAACCAGCCAAGUCGCGUGAGGGAAGACGGUCCUAUGGAUUGUAAACCUCUUUAGGCGGGGAGCAAUGCCGGGCACGCGUGCCCGGAGGGAGAGUACCCGCAGAAUAAGCAUCGGCUAACUCCGUGCCAGCAGCCGCGGUAAUACGGAGGAUGCGAGCGUUAUCCGGAUUUAUUGGGUUUAAAGGGUGCGCAGGCGGCACGGCAAGCCGGCGGUCAAAUCGCGGGGCCCAACCCCGCCCAGCCGUCGGAACUGCCG
rnacentral:rRNA from 1 species